UUACAGCCAUAUCAUGUUGAAACACCGAUUCCCAUAUGAGCACCAAAGUUAAGCAGUGUCAAGCCUGCUCAGUACCUAGAUGGGUGACUGCUUGAAAAUAGCAAGAGCUGUAA